UACGUAGGGGGGCAAGCGUUGUCCGGAAUCAUUGGGCGUAAAGAGCGCGUAGGCGGUCCGGUAAGUCCGCUGUGAAAGUCAAGGGCUCAACCCUUGAAUGCCGGUGGAUACUGCCGGGCUAGAGUCCGGAAGAGGCGAGUGGAAUUCCUGGUGUAGCGGUGAAAUGCGCAGAUAUCAGGAGGAACACCGGUGGCGAAGGCGGUUCUCUGGGCCUUACCUGACGCUGAGGAGCGAAAGCGUGGGGAGCAAACAGG
rnacentral:rRNA from 1 species